rnacentral:rRNA from 1 species
UAGGGAAUCUUCCACAAUGGACGAAGUCUGAUGGAGCAACGCCGCGUGAGUGAUGAAGGGUUUCGGCUCGUAAAACUCUGUUGUUGGAGAAGAACAGGUGAUAGAGUAACUGUUAUCAUCUUGACGGUAUCCAACCAGAAAGCCACGGCUAACUACGUGCCAGCAGCCGCGGUAAUACGUAGGUGGCAAGCGUUGUCCGGAUUUAUUGGGCGUAAAGCGAGCGCAGGCGGUUUUUUAGGUCUGAUGUGAAAGCCUUCGGCUUAACCGGAGAAGGGCAUCGGAAACCGGGAGACUUGAGUGCAGAAGAGGACAGUGGAACUCCAUGUGUAGCGGUGAAAUGCGUAGAUAUAUGGAAGAACACCAGUGGCGAAGGCGGCUGUCUGGUCUGUAACUGACGCUGAGGCUCGAAAGCAUGGGUAGCGAACAGGAUUAGAUACCCUGGUAGUCCAUGCCGUAAACGAUGAGUGCUAAGUGUUGGAGGGUUUUCCGCCCUUCAGUGCUGCAGCUAACGCAUUAAGCACUCCGCCUGGGGAGUACGACCGCAAGGUUGAAAC